UUAAAUAAAAUAAUAGGAAGUCAUGGGAAUGUGAAUUUUUCUUGCCUAGAUUAAAAAGUUAAAGGAUUGUUUUAAGUUAGGAUAAAGCUGAAGUUUUAAGCAAGUUGUGAAAGGUUUGUGAAAAAUUAAUUGUAGAAGAGAUUCUGUGUGAAGAUAUUGGCUAAAGUUAAAGGGGUUUUCAGUUUUUCUGUAAACUGAACAUUGGAGUAAGAACACAACAGGUUUUUUUUGUUUUUGAGCAAAAGCUUGCUUAUGAUCUGCUCUUUAAUAAUAAUUUAUAAAAAUGGUGUUUGGUUUUCCUUGGGCUGUAUUUGUAUAAAAGUGUUAUUUUCAUAUUUGUUCCAAAAUUAUGGGAAACUCUUAUAAUUCUGAAAUGACUUAGUUUACAUUAUCAGUAAUAAUUAUAAUUGUUGUGUUGAAUUGUUGUAUGCCACAGAUUGUAUAUAACCAAAAUUGUGUGUAACCGAAUUUCUUUGUCAAUCGUGUAUUUAACUGUGGCUGUCCUAAGAUGUUUUGUCAUCAAAAAACAAUUAUUACCUUGUUUUAAUCCUCUUUAGAAGGUGGUUUAUAAUCAAUUAUAGAAAUCUAACAGGUGUUCUUAAAUGCAGGUUUUCUGAUAACUUUGGAGAUUGUUACAUCAGAAUAGAGGAAAAAAACUUUUAGGACUCUCAUAAAGAGCUAGAAUGUUCAUUAACUAUCAAGCAGAAGUUAACUACAUGGACUAAGUUAAAGAAGUCUAAUCUUUUUAACUUUUCUUAAAAUGCUGCUGAUCCUUUAUUUUGUUUUUCUGAGUAAAGAAGACAUUUUUUUGAGCUAUUUACAGCUUUUAGCAAUUGAGUUCACUUCUCUGAACAAAAUUUGAAGCAUAUUUGUUUCUCUCUACCUGAUUUCUCCAAAAUUCAGAAACUAUUUGAAUCAAACUUGACUUGUAGAGCCAAUAAAAAUUCUUUGGGGAACUUGCCUCAUACCUUGCCUACACGAUCCCUGGUAAGUAAAGAAUGUCACUUUCUCACAGGUCAAAGAGCCUUAAGUUAUCUUGGGACCUCAAAAGGAGAGGAAUUCACCCAACUUGUAGAUAUUUGAGGAUAAAACCCCAUGGCAAGUCUUGGCUUUAAAGAAGUCUUAUCUGUGAUUCCUUCUAUGGAAGAGUUCUAUCAAAGCCAAUUUAAAAAGAGCUUAUGUGAAAAAUAAUUAUUCUUGCUGCACUUUUAUACAAAUAAUCAGGCCAAGUAUAAUAAAACAAAAUGGUCUUUUCAUGAUUUGUCUUUAGUAAAAAUCAGACACUGGAGAGAAAAAUACUAUGUUUCAAGAACUAUAAUACACUUGGUAUUAAAUUCUAGUCUCAUUAGUUGUUUUUAAGUUGGCUUCUGCAAUUUAGGCUAACCCUGCUUAUUCCUGUGAACCAACCAGUGAGCUCUGAUUGCUGCUCAGUAGAAACAAAAAGGAUGGGUAAUGUAAAAAUCUGGAUCAGUAUUCUAAUUCUGGGCACAUUACAAUUAGCUAACAACCCCAUAUCAGCUUAGUUCCAACAGUUUUUCAGUUCAUGAAAAGCCUAAUUUGGUUUACUUGAAAUAAC
ensembl:lncRNA